GUGCCAGCCGCCGCGGUAAUACGUAGGUGGCAAGCGUUAUCCGGAAUUAUUGGGCGUAAAGCGCGCGUAGGCGGUUUUUUAAGUCUGAUGUGAAAGCCCACGGCUCAACCGUGGAGGGUCAUUGGAAACUGGAAGACUUGAGUGCAGAAGAGGAAAGUGGAAUUCCAUGUGUAGCGGUGAAAUGCGCAGAGAUAUGGAGGAACACCAGUGGCGAAGGCGACUUUCUGGUCUGUAACUGACGCUGAUGUGCGAAAGCGUGGGGAUCAAACA
rnacentral:rRNA from 1 species